UAACAGACUGAAUUGUGGGUAAUGGCUUCU
rnacentral:piRNA from 2 species